UUCUGGAUUUGUGAGCCUUGGAAGAAUGGAGGCUAGGGUCUCACAGGACACGUGAACAUGUCACCUGAUAUUGGAAUCUAUAUUAAACCUGUUGCUUUUCCAUUUAGAAGGA